GAGUAUAUACAUGUAUAUCAGGAUACUGACUGCAUAGUAAAAUAUUUAUGUACCAUUAGUUGCGACUCAUUUUGGUCUUUUAAGUAAGUUUCCUUCCCCUGCAUUACUUGAUCGCUUUUGUAAAAAAUAAACAGCACAACAACAACAGCACUCGACGUCAGUAUUGUACCAAAAAAUGAAAAAAAUAUUCAAAAAGAAGGCUCAUAAAAUUCAAAUAUUGGACAAGAACUAUAGAAGAUGCAGAGAAAUUAUAAACAGCAGAAAUGAUAGGCAAUUUAAAAUUUGCAGAAGUCAACAAAACCUAAAUGGUGAUCAGACAUCUUGGUUUUCAUGAUCAAUAGGUCAAUACUGAAGAGGAAACUGAAAGUUGAUAUCUAUCUACAUGGUGCGCUAAUUGGAUUAAUGUGAAAUGGAAUGUGUGCUUUCCUGCAAAAAAGAAAUAGGAAAUUUCAUCAUAAUCACAUGAUAAUGGCUAUAAACAAAAUGGAGUUCUAUCAUAGAUGCAGAAAAACACAAUUGUAUAAAUGCAACAACAUAUUAUAUAUAUUCGUCGAAAGAAGGGAGAAAUGAAGAAAAAAAAAGUAUUUUGUUGUUGAAAGGAACACCAGCUUUAUCCACUCAUUUACAUCGCUCC